GGAGGGAUGCGAGAGUGGCCGAAUCGGGCGGUCUCGAAAACCGCUGUACCCGCAAGGGUACCGUGGGUUCAAAUCCCACUCCCUCCGCAA
rnacentral:tRNA from 1 species